UACGUAGGGUGCGAGCGUUUAAUCGGAAUUACUGGGCGUAAAGCGUGCGCAGGCGGUUUUGUAAGCCGGAUGUGAAAUCCCCCGGGCUUAACCUGGGAAUGGCAUUCGGGGACUGCAAGGCUGGAGUGCGGCAGAGGAGACUGGAAUUCCUGGUGUAGCAGUGAAAUGCGUAGAUAUCAGGAGGAACACCGAUGGCGAAGGCAGGUCUCUGGGCGACACUGACGCUGCAUGCACGAAAGCGUGGGG
rnacentral:rRNA from 1 species